rnacentral:rRNA from 1 species
AUGGCAAUCACCAUGCUGAAAACCAUUGAUAGCCUGUCCGAUCAGAUGGUGAUGUAUCUUCUAGGGGCCAUGCAAUCUGCGAGUUUCGACAAUCAGAUGUUCCCGGUCUGGUCCAUCGUACUGGUGAGCCUCCGUGCCAGCCUUGGUUACCUCUCCGGGUAUGGCAUCACAGACCGUGAGAGGCAACUCACUGAAUUGGCAAACGUGAUGAAGUUCUUAGUAUUAGGAGUCUUGAACGGCACGCGGGGUUUGGAGUUCAACAAACCACUCUGGUUACUCUGGGCCAUUCUGCUGGUGAGAAGCGUGUACAGAUGUCUCGCACAUCAUUGGGCUAUCGGAUCCUUGUGGCACGGCCGUAGCUCGGAGUUCCUCCCGGAGUACAUGAUUGAAAACCGCCCCGGUGACCGUGAAGAUGGCCGCAGCUUGGACAAGGAUCAAAGCUACCUGGUUUACGGAGAGUCCAGUCAGGAGGUCGAAUUGAAGAGGCCUGGGUAUACUCUGCAUCUCAAUGUCGUCAAUCAUCAAUCACUCAUCACACUGAAUAAGAUUUCAGAGUGCAGUAAGCAUCUGCUGAGCCCCAGUAACAGAAACAGAUACAAGGAUAUGAGCCUGGCCUUCACACUGUCGAGGCUGCUUCGCUGUAGGCUUGAAGACGUAACGCUGCAGCCAGAAACCAAAAAAGAGAUACGUAGCUUAAUCACUUCAAAGAUUACUGUAGGUGAAGAGAACAGUCAGAUGAAGGCGAAGAGGAUAUUCAGAGUCCUGGAGUUGGAGCUUGCAUUUGUCAGAGAUUACUUUUACACCCUCUACCCUAUGGUCUUCUGGCAAGGACUUUCUUCUCUCUGCUUCAACAUCCUCCUGUCCAUGGCAACGUUCGCUGUCGCCUUUUGGCUGGCCAUAUGCAUCCGCAAGGCCUACGAGCCCCCUGAAGAAACAUUUGUUCUCUGGGUGGGGGGAUGGAAUUUUGACGUUGUCAUUACUUGGGUGUUCAUGUUCUUCAUGAUGUUCAAGGAGGUCUGGGAGAUUAUCACCUACCUGCUAUCAAACUGGACAAGAUUACUCCUUGUGUGCAAGUAUGUGCAGCACACCCAGCAGAGCGAGCAGAGUGAGCAGAGCCAAUCUUCGCUCAUGAGGAGUCUCAUGGGGAAUGCUCUCACGGUGGAUCUGAUAAGUUCGUUUUUUGUCUCUAAGAUUGCCGACCCAUGGCAUGGUCGCAUCGACCAAUAUGACUUUUUGCAGUCAUGCACAUACAACCCACCCUUUUGGAAACUGGCAAAAGCAGUUACCCUGGGAAAGACUCCAAGGGAGUUAGAUGGAAGAAAACGUGGUGAAGCUAUCAAGAUUCCUGAAUGCGUUAAGCUAGCAAUCCUGAAGGCACUCUACCAAAUAGACCUCAAGAAACAUCAUCAGCUGCCCAUAAGAAUCCCAUCGCUGGAGGCCGAGGCACACAUGCAGUUUCAAUGGGCCUGCCUGGAUCUAGACACAUGCUCUCGGGUCAUUCUGGUGUGGCACAUCGCCACAAGCCUCUGUGAAAUCAAGCUUGCGCAGGAGGGUGAAAUUGACUUAACCAAGCCCGGGUUUGUGCGCUCAGCCUGGUCAUAUCUGAAAACACUCCGCUCCUGCACUUCCAAGCCACACCUGGUAGAUGAUAAUAUUCAAAGGAAUGAUGACCUCAAGACCUGUUACCGCACCGCAACCAGUUUGUCAUGGUACUGUGCUUAUCUGCAGGUUUUUCGGCCUGAACUGUUGCCAGAUAGUUUUGUUGUACCAGACCUGAUAUUUUCAGAAACCUUACAAAAAGCUCGAGAACAAGCCGAUGAUUGCAACCUGACAUGGUGUUGGUAUAAUAAAUUUAUGGUAAUAGCGCAGGAAGCUAAGGAAAAGAAUGUGGAUAAGAGGCAGAGUAAGAGCAUAGUGCAGCAAGGUGCUAUUUUAGGCAAAGAACUGAUUGACAUGGAUAAAGAAACCCGUUGGAAGAUUCUAGCUGGAGUGUGGGCUGACUUAUUUGUGCACAUCGCCCCCAGUUGGAAUGCAUUAGAUCACAAGAACAACCUCGAGUCGGGAGGCGAGUUCAUAACCCUCAUCUGGGCAUUGCUUUGCCACUGUGGCAUCGAGAAGAGCAAAAUGUGGGACAAGGAUAAAGUAUCUAGAAGGAAUUUUCAAGUACCCCAGGAAAAUAAUACUGAAACCGACAACAUUGGGCCUGUAGAGGAGCAACAAAUAUCUGAAACCAAUGCUCAGGCACCUCAGGAUAACAACAUUGAAACCAACAGCACUGAGCCCGCGCAGGAGCAGCAAGUAUCUGAAAACAAUGCUCAGGUAGAAAAUAAUACUGAAAUCAGCAACUUUGAGCCCGUGGAGGAGCAGCAAAUAUCUGAAAACAUUGCUCAAGUAGAAAAUAAUACUGAAGUCGGCAACAUUGAGCCCAUGGAGGAGCAACAAGUAUCUGAAACCAAUGCUCAAGUACCUCAAGAAAAUACUACUGAAACCAGCGACAUGCAGCCUGUGGAGGAGCAACAAGCAUCUGAAAACAAUGCUGAAGUAGAAAAUAAUACUGAAAUCAGCAACAUUCAACCCAUGGAGCAACAAGUAUAUGAAAACAAUGCUCAAGUAUCUCAGGAAAACAAUACUGAAACCAGCGACAUUCAGCCUAUGGAGGAGCAACAAGUAUAUCAAAACAAUGCUCAAGAAGAAACCAAUACUGAGCUCAACAUUCAGCCGGUGGAGGACCAACAAGUAUCUGAAAACAAUGCUCAGGCAUCUCAGGAAAAUAAUACUGAAACCAGCGACCCUCAGCCUAUGGAGGAGCAAUCCGACGAGGAUGAGACUGAGAGUGAUCCAGGCUCCGAGACAAGCAGCUAG